rnacentral:piRNA from 1 species
UGGGAUGCUCUAUUCAAAACCAACGUUCGGUU